rnacentral:rRNA from 1 species
UGGGGAAUAUUGGACAAUGGGCGAAAGCCUGAUCCAGCCAUGCCGCGUGUGUGAAGAAGGUCCUCGGAUUGUAAAGCACUUUAAGUUGGGAGGAAGGGCAGUAAGCGAAUACCUUGCUGUUUUGACGUUACCGACAGAAUAAGCACCGGCUAACUCUGUGCCAGCAGCCGCGGUAAUACAGAGGGUGCAAGCGUUAAUCGGAAUUACUGGGCGUAAAGCGCGCGUAGGUGGUUCGUUAAGUUGAAUGUGAAAGCCCCGGGCUCAACCUGGGAACUGCAUCCAAAACUGGCGAGCUAGAGGAGGGCAGAGGGUGGUGGAAUUUCCUGUGUAGCGGUGAAAUGCGUAGAUAUAGGAAGGAACACCAGUGGCGAAGGCGACCACCUGGGCUCAUACUGACACUGAGGUGCGAAAGCGUGGGGAGCAAACAGG